UUCGGGGUACACGAGCGGCGAACGGGUGAGUAACACGUGAGCAACCUGCCCCUGACUCUGGGAUAAGCGGUGGAAACGCCGUCUAAUACCGGAUACGACCGGCCACCUCAUGGUGGCGGGUGGAAAGUUUUUCGGUCAGGGAUGGGCUCGCGGCCUAUCAGCUUGUUGGUGGGGUAACGGCCUACCAAGGCGAUUACGGGUAGCCGGCCUGAGAGGGCGACCGGCCACACUGGGACUGAGACACGGCCCAGACUCCUGCGGGAGGCAGCAGUGGGGAAUAUUGCGCAAUGGGCGAAAGCCUGACGCAGCGACGCCGCGUGGGGGAUGACGGCCUUCGGGUUGUAAACCUCUUUUACCACCAACGCAGGCUCCCAGUUCUCUGGGGGUUGACGGUAGGUGGGGAAUAAGGACCGGCUAACUACGUGCCAGCAGCCGCGGUAAUACGUAGGGUCCGAGCGUUGUCCGGAAUUAUUGGGCGUAAAGAGCUCGUAGGCGGCGUGUCGCGUCUGCUGUGAAAGACCGGGGCUUAACUCCGGUUCUGCAGUGGAUACGGGCAUGCUAGAGGUAGGUAGGGGAGACUGGAAUUCCUGGUGUAGCGGUGAAAUGCGCAGAUAUCAGGAGGAACACCGGUGGCGAAGGCGGGUCUCUGGGCCUUACCUGACGCUGAGGAGCGAAAGCAUGGGGAGCGAACAGGAUUAGAUACCCUGGUAGUCCAUGCCGUAAACGUUGGGCGCUAGGUGUGGGGACUUUCCACGGUUUCCGCGCCGUAGCUAACGCAUUAAGCGCCCCGCCUGGGGAGUACGGCCGCAAGGCUAAAACUCAAAGGAAUUGACGGGGGCCCGCACAAGCGGCGGAGCAUGUUGCUUAAUUCGACGCAACGCGAAGAACCUUACCAAGGUUUGACAUCACCCGUGGACCUGCAGAGAUGUGGGGUCAUUUAGUUGG
rnacentral:rRNA from 1 species